AGUGAACGCUGGCGGUAGGCCUAACACAUGCAAGUCGAACGGCAGCACAGUAAGAGCUUGCUCUUACGGGUGGCGAGUGGCGGACGGGUGAGGAAUACAUCGGAAUCUACUUUUUCGUGGGGGAUAACGUAGGGAAACUUACGCUAAUACCGCAUACGACCUACGGGUGAAAGCAGGGGAUCUUCGGACCUUGCGCGAUUAAAUGAGCCGAUGUCGGAUUAGCUAGUUGGCGGGGUAAAGGCCCACCAAGGCGACGAUCCGUAGCUGGUCUGAGAGGAUGAUCAGCCACACUGGAACUGAGACACGGUCCAGACUCCUACGGGAGGCAGCAGUGGGGAAUAUUGGACAAUGGGCGCAAGCCUGAUCCAGCCAUACCGCGUGGGUGAAGAAGGCCUUCGGGUUGUAAAGCCCCUUUGUUGGGAAAGAAAAGCAGCAGGUUAAUACCCCGCUGUUCCGACGGUACCCAAAGAAUAAGCACCGGCUAACUUCGUG
rnacentral:rRNA from 1 species